GUGCUUGCUUUGGCGACAUAUAAACUAAAAUUGGAAUGAUACAGAGAAGAUUAGCAUGGCCGCUGCACAAGGAUGACAAAUUCGUGAAGCGUUCCAUAUUUUU